rnacentral:lncRNA from 1 species
ACAAAACUGUCCGAUGAAUGGGAACAUGAAACUCUGAUUAGGCAUUCAAGUGAGUAUACUGACAUUGAUGUGACAAUCUGUUCUGGUAAAUCUAGCUGAAGAGAACUAAUCAAGUUUAUGUGAACAAACAUAUCUUGAAGAGUUUGAAACUUAGGUCCUAGAUUAUCCACAUCUGGGUUGGCCAUUUAUCUGAUGUUCUUCAUACAGUCUGGUACAUUGAAAGGAUGAAUUAAUUCAAAAGUUUUAAAACAAAAGAGCAGCAUUAAGAUUCAUGCUUGCACAAGUCAAUAUGCUAACUGAAUAACUGAAUGAAUAAACAAAUACGUAUGCACAUGAUCAAUGUGUAAUGCAGUAAUUGAACUUUAAAAGCAAUCAAGAUGAAUGUCUAACAUUUAUUUGGCACAAUUAACUAUUAAAUGUUUAUUUUAUAAUUUGAUUAAAAAAAUAUCAA